rnacentral:rRNA from 1 species
UAACUGUCUUUUUCUUCUGUCCUUUAAAUUACUGAAGGAGUGAAAAUUCUCCUGUUUAAAUAUGUUAGACGAGAAGACCCUUAGAGUUAUAAUGAAAAAAGCUGUGCAGCAUUUAAGUUUUUGUUGGGGCAACAUAGUUACAAAUGAUAUAAUUAACUAUUACUGAAAAGGAGUAAGCCGAGGGAAAUACUAUGAAAAAAAUAACUACCUGAGGGAUAACAGCAUAAUUUUAUAUAUAAGAUUGUGACCUCGAUGUUGGACUAG